UUGAACGCUGGCGGCAGGCCUAACCCCUGCCAGUCGAGCGGAUGAAGGGAGCUUGCUCCUGGAUUCAGCGGCGGACGGGUGAGUAAUGCCUAGGAAUCUGCCUGGUAGUGGGGGAUAACGUCCGGAAACGGGCGCUAAUACCGCAUACGUCCUGAGGGAGAAAGUGGGGGAUCUUCGGACCUCACGCUAUCAGAUGAGCCUAGGUCGGAUUAGCUAGUUGGUGGGGUAAAGGCCUACCAAGGCGACGAUCCGUAACUGGUCUGAGAGGAUGAUCAGUCACACUGGAACUGAGACACGGUCCAGACUCCUACGGGGGGCAGCAGUGGGGAAUAUUGGACAGUGGGCGAAAGCCUGAUCCAGCCAUGCCGCGUGUGUGAAGAAGGUCUUCGGAUUGUAAAGCACUUUAAGUUGGGAGGAAGGGCAGUAAGUUAAUACCUUGCUGUUUUGACAUUACCAACAGAAUAAGCACCGGCUAACUUCGU
rnacentral:rRNA from 1 species